GCGCACCAGUCGCGAAACCUCCACAAUGCGGGAAACCGUGGUGGGGGAAUCCGAGUGCCCGUUGGCUAAUGCUGGCGGGCUUUUCUCAAGCGUAAAAGGCUUGAGGAAUAAGGACUGGGUAAGACCGGUGCCAGCCGCCGCGGUAACACCGGCGGUCCAACUGGUGAUCAGCAUUACUGGGCCUAAAGCGUCCGUAGCCGGAUGGUUGGAUUCUGAGUGAAAUUUCCCAGCUCAACUGGGAAGCGUGCUUGGAACACCCGCCAUCUUGGGACCGGGAGAGGUGAGAGGUACCUCAGGGGUAGGGGUGAAAUCUUGUGAUCCUUGAGGGACCACCAGUGGCGAAGGCGUCUCACUAGAACGGCUCCGACGGUCAGGGACGAAAGCUAGGGGGCACGAACCGGAUUAGAUACCCGUGUAGU
rnacentral:rRNA from 1 species